rnacentral:rRNA from 1 species
UACGUAGGGGGCGAGCGUUGUCCGGAAUCAUUGGGCGUAAAGAGCGUGUAGGCGGCCCGAUAAGUCUGGUGUGAAAUCUUGAGGCUCAACCUCAAGCUGUCAUCGGAUACUGUCGGGCUAGAGUCCGGAAGAGGAGAGUGGAAUUCCUGGUGUAGCGGUGGAAUGCGCAGAUAUCAGGAGGAACAUCCGUGGCGAAGGCGGCUCUCUGGUACGGUACUGACGCUGAGACGCGAAAGCGUGGGGAGCGAAACAGG